UCUUCAAAUUCCAAAACCAUCUAGUUAUACCUAUUAGACAUACGAAAUAGCGGAGCAAGCACAAAAGAUACAAACAAGUAUACCAUGACAUGAUUUCAAACACAAAAACAAUGAUACAAAGGUAUAUCAAACAUACACAAAAACCAAAUAGUUUCUACAGGCAUGUUUUCCAAUAUCAUAAAGUCAUCAUAUAAGAUAGGAAAAUUACGUCGACAAAAACUUACCAAUAAGUCGGAGGGG
rnacentral:lncRNA from 1 species